GACGAACGCUGGCGGCGUGCUUAACACAUGCAAGUCGAACGAAGAGCGAUGGAAGCUUGCUUCUAUCAAUCUUAGUGGCGAACGGGUGAGUAACGCGUAAUCAACCUGCCCUUCAGAGGGGGACAACAGUUGGAAACGACUGCUAAUACCGCAUACGAUCUAAUCUCGGCAUCGAGGAUAGAUGAAAGGUGGCCUCUACAUGUAAGCUAUCACUGAAGGAGGGGAUUGCGUCUGAUUAGCUAGUUGGAGGGGUAACGGCCCACCAAGGCGAUGAUCAGUAGCCGGUCUGAGAGGAUGAACGGCCACAUUGGGACUGAGACACGGCCCAGACUCCUACGGGAGGCAGCAGUGGGGAAUCUUCCGCAAUGGACGAAAGUCUGACGGAGCAACGCCGCGUGAGUGAUGACGGCCUUCGGGUUUGUAAAAGCUCUGUUAAUUCGGGACGAAAAGGGCC
rnacentral:rRNA from 1 species